rnacentral:lncRNA from 1 species
UAAUCUCAUGGAAUGAAAUAAACUUUCCAGAAUCCUGGUCAUUGGAAGAAGAAAUUCCAACACCACCAAUAGUAAACACGAACAUAGACCAGAUAAUUCAAAUGACUGAUGGGUCUGUAGAAAUCAUGUUUAAUAAUUCUACAAGAAAGGUCAAAAUUCCUGAAAUUGGCAGGUCAAUGUCAAGUAGAAGUUUCGAUACAAGGCCUUCUACUUCUAGAACUAGAAACAAUAAGACAAAUGUUGUAGAAGAAAUAAAUAUAAGUAAAAAUAAUAUUCCCUAUGGAAUUUAUAAGAGUAAGGAAUCUCCUACUCGAUCAGAAAUGAGUUUUCAUAUUUAAUGGAUUACACCCAAGGAAGUUAUAUAAGAAGAAAACUCAAUGAAGAGUUUCAGUCAGAAAGAAAUAAACUAUUUAGAGUAUGGUAUUUGGGAAAAUUUUCUCCAUUAGAAUUAGUAUAUUACAAAAAUAAAUAUUAUGAGGAAUUAGAAUACUAUCAAAAGAUAGAAUAUUUUACCCCUUGGUUUUUAAAAUUUUAUGCAAAUGAGAAAAACCAAGAAAUCGCGGUUCUCCAGAAAACAUGGACAACUANN